GGCCUGGCCCCCCAUACGUCUCCUCUACCAAUACAAUCCCCCCUACCCAACCCUCAUGAAGCUCGGAGCUCAACCUCAUGGCCAUGGCCUCAAGCUCUGCUCCUGCAAAUCCUCCCUCGACCUCUUGGCCACGGCACCCCUCUCAGCCCCAUGGCCUUGCUCUGAACCCCUCAUAACAGCUCCUGCCAAUCCCCUCCUCGAUUUGGUUCAUAGGCUCAAGGGAAAAGGGUAUUCUUCAGGAGAGGAGAACAUCAUAGUACAUGUGAAUGAAGAACCAAUCCAAGCCCCCUCUCAUACCAGGCUCGCCGGAUGGAUCAGAUCGACCGAGCCCGAAGCAAACGAAUGGACCGGUCCAUCGAACCCAGUCUAUCGGCGGCGCAACCCGAAGCACCGGACCCGAGCAACCUCGGUACGGCGCAUACUUAAGCCGCCGCAACCUUAUCCUCCUCCCUCCGAACCUGAAACCCUAGCGGUCGCACCCCCAUCCCCCGCCCCCGCCCCCGCCGUUGAGCAACUCCGGCGAGAUGACGGGAGGGGGAGAGGAGGACGGCGAGCCAGGGCAUAAGACGGUGCUCUUCACCAAGGGGGAGGACACCGGCGGCGACCUCGCCCGCGGCUCCUCCAAGGCCGCAGGCGGCGACUCCUCCAAGGCCGCGGGCGCCGACCUCGCCCGCGACUCCUUAAAGGCCGCAGGCGGCGACCACGCCCACGACUCCUCCAAGGCCGCGGCCCCGACUCCUCCAAGGCCGCGGGCGGCGACCGCGGCCCCGACUCCUCCAAGGCCGCUGGCGGCGACCGCGUCCCCGACUCCUCCAAGGCCGCUGGCGGCGACCGCGUCCCCGACUCCUCCAAGGCCGCUGGCGGCGACAGCGUCCCCGACUCCUCCAAGGCCGCUGGCGGCGACCGCGUCCCCGACUCCUCCAAGGCCGCUGGCGGCGACCGCGUUCCCGACUCCUCCAAGGACACCGUUGGCGACGACUCCCGCGUUCGCCUCAAGUGCACAACCGGCUACUCUCUGAAGCGCACCAGCGACUCUCUGAAAGGGCCCAGCGAUGGAUUCAUUCUCUCAGACGAGGAAGUGUCACAUGCAGAGUAUUUAACCCAUUCACUGAUUCAUGAUAUCGAUGGAUCGCUCAACAAAAUGGAGACACUCAAAAGAGCUAUGUGCUGUGCUGGAUGUGAGGAGGAAGUUUUGCCACUGAAGCGCUCCAAUUACAAGAUGUUGCCUGCUUGACUGCUUGUUCCACCGGUUAGGAUAGGAAGUGGUUGUUCCACCCAUUGUGAUCUGACAUGCUGAACUUAAUUGCUUCUGCAUCAUUGCUUUUGAGUGUUAGCCAUCAUUCCAGUAAUAAUGUUAUCUCAUUUAUUGGUUCUCCCUCCACAUAGAAAUGCUUCUGAUCCUCUGGAAUUUGUUAGUUCAAAUAACAAGAUAUUUAGUGCACUAUUUGUGAAAUGGUUAGUUAUUCAAAUGUAUAACCAUUUUUUUUGGAUUAACUCGGUUAGUAAUCCAGUUACUUACCUUUGCUUUUUCUGUGUACAAUAUACUAAUUGCUGUUUUAAUCAUCACAAGCUUGCCAUAAGUAACCAUAACUACAAGUAUGGAUUGUGAGACGUAUUUUAUCCUGUUCUGUUCCUUCAUAUGCUGUUGUUGUGUACAAUAUGCUGAUUGAUUCUUUUUUGUCAUGUGCUGUCGAUGUCUACAAUCUGCUAAUUGUUGUUUUAAUCAUUUUGAGCCUGACAGAACUGCAAGAAUGUUUAGUGAGACAUAGUUAAUAUUUUUAUUUAUCCCGGCGUGAUCCUUAGUGUGCUGUUGCUGCUUACAAUUGGUUGAUUGUCGUUUAGAGUAUCAUGAGUCUGUCACGAGUAACUUUGUUGCCUUCCAAUAUGUGGGCGUGCAUGUUGAUCUGAUUGCUUUAUCUUGCAUCUCAUAUUGUUGAUGAUGUUGAGGCUGUAUCCCUCAAGUCCAAAAGAAGCUUUAGAAGUUCAGGACGUAUCUGAACAUAUAUUGAGGCGUAAUGAACUUAAUUGCAAUCUCUACAUAAUGAACUUAGCUGCUACAUCAUUGCUUUGAGUUCUUAACCACCUCCUUAGCUGCUCCUCCUAUCUUUUGAGUUCCAGCGAUAAUGUUGUCUCAUUUAAUGGUUGUGCCUCCUCUUAGAAAUGCUUCUUCUCUGAUACAAGUAGAAACACAAGUGGUAAAAUUUGAAGGCUAUUCAGGAAAACAUUAAUCUCGUCAGUGAUACUUUGUCUGCCCAUUUCUCUUUCAUUAGUAUAUUUAUGCAUUUGCUAUUGGUAUUAGAUGUAUAUGAUCAUGUGGAAUUUGUUAGUUGAAAUAACAAGCUAUUUAGCAUGCUAAUUGUGAUACGAUUAAUUAUUCAAAUUUAUAAGCAGAAUUUUUGGGUUAACUCGGUUAAUCAUCCAGUUUCUGUACAAUACACUGAUUGUUGUUUUAAUCAUUGCAAACCUGUCAUAAGUAACCUGUAACUGCAAGUAUGGAUUGUGAGAAAGGUUUUUGAGUCGACUAGUCAAGGGGGUCAAGGGGUUUGAGUCAACCCUGUCUGUGUGACUCGUCGACUAGUCGCGCGACUCAAAACCAGUGAUUGUGAAACAUGUUUUAUCCUGUUUUGUUCCUUCAUGUGCUGUUGUCGUGUAUAUUGUGCUGAUUGUUUCUGUUUCAUCAUGCGCUGUUUGUGCUAUCUGCUCUUUGGUGUUUUAAUCACUUCAAGCCUGUCAAAUCUAACUGCAAGUAUGUAUAGUGAUACAUAUUUUUAUCCCGGUGUGUUCCUUUUUGUGCUGUUGUUGUGUACUAUUGGCUGAUCUAUAAUCAAUCAGUCUGUCAUAAGUGUUCCAAGUGAGAUUAAUUCAUCUGCUUUCGUCCAAGUGUUUCCAUGCUUGUUGUGUUGCAACAUAAUAUAUUGCUUGUUUAUAAUCAUAUGCCUGCCAUCUGUAACUCCCAAGAUGUUGCCUGUAAUCUGCAACUUUUCUGAAGGUGUUGGUGCUUGUUCCACCAAGUGUGCGUCUGUAGCUAAUAUAGGAGGAACACAACCUUAGUUUUUUCCUGGCUAAUUUAGUUUGUUGAUGAGUGAAACAAUGUAUCCAUUAUUUUCUUAACUAAUAGCUCUCAGUUUUAUCCUUUUUUAUGAAAUCUGUGGUCUUGUGUACUAAGUAGAUACCUUUUGUGACACUUUUGUAAACUGCGCAUAAUGAACUUAAUUCCUUCUACAUCGUUUAGUUCUUAACAACUUACCUACCUGCUGCUCCUAAUUUUUGAAUUCCAUAAUGUUUUUACAUGAAUGGUUCUUCCUCCAGUUUUUUCUCUUGGGGAAACCAUAAAGUUAAUCAAUCUCCUUUAUGGCCUUUUUAACUGUUAAAUUGCAUGUUUAUUUUGCAGAAUGUUCAAGAGUGGAAUGUGUUAUGUAUCUUCAUCCUAUUGUGUCCUUCCUGUGCUAUUGUAGUGUAUCAUAUGCUGAUUGUAGUUUUAAUCAUCACAAGCCUGUCAUCAGUAACUGCAUAUGUUGAUUGUGAGAUGUAUCUUUAUCCUGUUGAUUUCCUAAUUGUGUUUUUGUUAUCUACAACCUGCUGAUUGUUGUUUUUAGUCAUCACAAAUCUGUCAUAAGUAACUCCUGGUUAUUGCCUUCCAACGUGUGCAUGUCGAUCUGAUGGCUUUAUCUUUCAUCUCAUAGGGCUGAGGGAGCAUCCAUGACGGCUAGCCAUCUUGAGGUGGUUUCCCCGAGGUCCAAAAGGAACCUGGAAGAUGAGGAUCAAUCUGAACAGAUUUUAAAACGUUCCAAGUAUGACAGUCCUAUUGUUGCCGAAUCACCAUGGGAAUCAUCUGGCCUGAUAGUUGCCUUGAGAAGCGUAAUGCGACGAGGGAAAGACUUGCAUCUGGAGAGGUGUGAUGUUAGGCUUGAGAAGCGGGAGCUUCGGUUGGAGAACCGUGAGGCUUGGCUGGCGAAUCGUGAGGUUAGGUUGGAAAAGCGCGAGCGUCGCUUGGAUCGCUAUGAGAAUCAGAAAGAUCAGAGUUUGGAGCAGCGGAAGGCGGAUUUUGAUAAGAACUGGGAGGGGUAUCAGAAUUGGUUGCUUUAUAAAGCUGCCCUAGAGGACGCCCCCUCUGCUUCCAAAGUGGAUGGCCCCUCUCCUGCCGCAGAGAAGGUCUCUGCUCCUGCCCCAAAGACCUCAGCUCCUAUAGCUGCUCCUGCCCCGGGGAAUCAAACUCCUGGCUCAUUGAACAGAGUUGCGGACGCUGUCAAGACUGGAGUCACCACCGUCACUGAGAGUCUGGAAAGUGCCGACAAAAUGACCACGCUUCUGGAGAAGGUUGUGGCUGCUCCGACAAGAGUGCAGGACCUAAGGAAAAGCUAUGAAGAAAACAAAGCAAUUGUCUCUGCAAUGAGGAAAAGCUACGAGGAUAACACGGAAGUUGGCUCCUCCUUCAAGAGUGUUGUUGCGGGUGUCGUGACCAGCAGCCUGUUGCUUGCAAGGCAAGCUUUGAAGGAUUUGGUACGGGGAGGUGGAGGAGAUGGUGAUGCCGAGUGAUACUUGCGCAAGUUGUCUGGAUCCACCGAUGUUUCAAAUGACGGUGAUUGUCCGCUGUGAGUGGAUACGAAGUUUUGUUGUAUGUUGCUGUUGCUUUUGAAACAGAUGUGCCCUUCCAGAAUUGUUUCAUUGAUCUUACGAUAGUUGCUUGACGAAUUGAUGUGUAUUCCUUGUUUCACGCUCUAAUGUGUAUAUACAUGCUUCUUUUACUUGAUAAUCCAUUUUGGUGAUGGUGAUUCUUAA